rnacentral:sRNA from 4 species
UGUAUCUGAAGUCUGACGAGGAUGAGAACCUCCGGGGGCAAGAGGUUCGACUCGAGCGAAGCGAGAGAACGUUGCGUCAGCAACGGCCCGCAGGGCGAGCCACG